rnacentral:rRNA from 1 species
UACGGAGGAUCCAAGCGUUAUCCGGAUUCAUUGGGUUUAAAGGGUGCGUAGGCGGAAUAAUAAGUCAGUGGUGAAAGCCUGUUGCUUAACAACAGAACUGCCAUUGAUACUGUUAAUCUUGAGUACAUUUGAUGUGGGCGGAAUGUGUCGUGUAGCGGUGAAAUGCUUAGAUAUGACACAGAACACCGAUUGCGAAGGCAGCUCACAAAACUGUAACUGACGCUGAGGCACGAAAGCGUGGGUAUCAAACAGG